rnacentral:tRNA from 1 species
GGAGAGGUGGCAGAGUGGCUGAAUGCGCACGCUUGGAAAGCGUGUUUACGGAAACGUAACGGGGGUUCGAAUCCCCCUCUCUCCG